UGAGCAAUCUGCCCUUCACAUCGGAAUAACCAUUGGAAACGAUGGCUAAUACCGAAUAUGACUUCGGAUCGCAUGAUCUGAAGUGGAAAGCUCCGGCGGUGAAGGAUGAGCUCGCGGCCUAUCAGCUCGUUGGUGAGGUAAUAGCUCACCAAGGCGAUGACGGGUAGCCGGCCUGAGAGGGUGACCGGCCACACUGGGACUGAGACACGGCACGA
rnacentral:rRNA from 1 species